UAGCAGCACGUAAAUAUUGGAGUCAAAGCACUUGCGAAUCCUCCAGUAUUGACCGUGCUGCUGGA
rnacentral:pre_miRNA from 1 species